rnacentral:lncRNA from 1 species
CUCUAUAAAUUUGCGCUCAAUGUUCUCAACUUUAAUCUUGUACAAUUUGGUCAUUGAAUUUUGACUUUCAUUUCAAUCAUACCUCCAAAAUUUCAACCCAAGGUUCAUCAACUUUCUCCCAUUGUGCAAUUUGGUCACCAACUCCAUGUUUUUGUACGCUUUUGAUCAAUUUUCUCUCCCUUUUGCCUUGUUCUCUUUCUGUUUGGCGUUUAUGACCAACAAAAAUCAAAAUUAGCCAAUUGUAAAUAGAAAAUCACUCAACUUAAUCAAUAAUUAGCUUGUUAAAAUAUUUAAUAAUUGUACAAAAAUGCACCUAUCAAAUACUUCCAAACUUAUGUUCUUGCUCAUCCCAAGCAAGAUUAUCUACAACAUAAAUCAAGCAAACGUGAUAAUAAUUAACACAUUAGAUAGCUUGCCAAAAAUAUCGAAGAGUGUAAAAUUGUAUAGUCAAUUCACAAAUAUGCUCCAAAUAAUGCAAGCAAAAAUAAUUUAAUCUUAUCCAAUAUUUGAUCGGUGUGUGCGCUCGUACAAAGUCACUUUCAAUCAUCAUCUAAAUUAAGAAAAAGUUGUCAAGACAGAAGAAAUUUCAAAUUAGCACAAACCCGACCUUUAGUGGUCAAAUAUUUCCUUUCUACUCGUGAAAUUCACACACUCAAAUAGGUAAUCCUUUUUUUUUGGCCCCCGGGUGUAAAUCUAAAGGCUUCUAUCAAAUCACCCAUUUCAUUUCCCGCUCUUGUUCGGCUGGGCCUGACUAGCAAUCUCAACAUCUAGACAUGUAAUGAUUCCACACUAAUGAGUGCUUCAACAUUCAAGUUUAUACUAAGUAAUUCAAAGGCACUACUUAUAAAAGCCCAAUUAUCAAAUAUAAUUGCACAAUAAUAAUUUUUUUUCCCUUCUUUCAAUUAAAUCUCAUAUUUUACCUUACUCCCCUUGAACUUUCUUUUUAUUACACUACAUUUCAUUCCUGUUAUCUUCUAGUAAACUCUCAGUGAUUGAUCUGGGCUAAUACUUCCUGGGUUACAGAUUCCCAGGGCUUACAGUAGAGCAACAACAACAGCUAAUCUACAGGAAAUUACUCAGCAGCUUCAGGGUUCUAACAUUGAUCUACAGACAGAAAAUUCUCAAACGAUUCAAAUUUCACAAACUAAAUUACCAAAUAUACACAAAGACAGACGUAUGUCUUCUAGAUAGAUUUAUACAUAUCCGUGUGCACUAUCUGUUGCAAUCAUGGGCUCUUCUGCCUCCCCUUUCUCAAAUCCCAUUUCAUAUUUUUCAUCAUAUUGAGUUUAUGCUAAAAAGGGAUCAUCAAUUGAAUUGUCCAAGAUAACAAAACACAAAAAAGAAUGGUGCAGGUAAUGUUGAUAACAAAAACAUGACAGGCUAAAAAAUCUAAAUUUUUAUGUAUACUCCACUCAAUUUUUCAGUAUGAAGAAUUAUGACAUGUUAUUGCCUAAUAUUUACGUUUCUUCCACUCAAUUAUACAAUCUGGUGGACAAGUUUAAACAGUUUAUUAGUUUAUUAUCCUCAACUAUUCAAUUAACUAAAAUUCCCAUUACAGCAAAUAGGAAGAAAAGAUAACAUUCAAAAAGCCAGCUAACGCAAAUGUUCAAUUUUAUUUUCCUUAAAUCCUGAAGAGUAUAACAUAGCGAAGAGUUAUAAAAUUGUGUUAAUUAAAUGAUAAAGAGGGAAUGUUACUUGACAUACACCAUGUGAAAAGCGAGCCAUCGAAGGCGGCGGCAGUAGUGUGCUCACAUCCACAAGCAAUAUGAAGCCACUAGAAUUUAUGUCGGCGGGACAACAGAUUGCGCUCUUCGUGGGGACAUUUCCCCGUUGUGAAUCCCCAAAUAGCUCAUUGAUCUCCAUAUUUCUUUACUACUUAUUAUCAAUUCCGCACAUCCUAGAAGAAAUCAUAAAACCAAUGUAGAAAAUGGAUAACUAACUAUGACUGAAAUCAAUUUGGGGAAUGGGAAAUGAGAAAUUAGUAAAGUCAAUUGUCACCUACGGAAGAAUUGAGCCACGAACAGUUAAAUCGAGAUGGGUCUUAGACGGAAAGUUGGAAACUGAGUUUUUAUUUUUUUAUUUUUUUUGGCAUUCAUUACCUUAGUUCUUCGAUCUCC